UACAGGGGGGGGCAAGCGUUGUUCGGAAUUACUGGGCGUAAAGGGUUCGUAGGUGGCCCGCUAAGUCACACGUGAAAUCCCUCAGCUUAACUGGGGAACUGCGUGUGAGACUGGCAGGCUUGAGUGCAGGAGAGGAACGCGGAAUUCCGGGUGUAGUGGUGGAAAUGCGUAGAGAUCCGGAGGAACCCCAGAGGCGAAGGCGGCGUCCUGGCUCGCAUCUGACGCUCAGACACGACAGCAUGGGAGCGAACGGG
rnacentral:rRNA from 1 species